CGGUUACAGGGAGAAUGUACAAACUCCUUAAAGGAGUUACCUUCAAUGGGACGCAAGUUCAGCGAUUAGUUGUGAGAUCAUGAUAACAGAAAGGCAAAGCUCAUGCUACGUUAAUGGGCAGUGGUCCCCAACCAUCGGGCCACGGACCAG